rnacentral:rRNA from 1 species
GACGAACGCUGGCGGCGUGCCUAAUACAUGCAAGUAGAACGCUGAAGGCGGAGCUUGCUUCUCCGGAUGAGUUGCGAACGGGUGAGUAACGCGUAGGUAACCUGCCUGGUAGCGGGGGAUAACUAUUGGAAACGAUAGCUAAUACCGCAUAAGAGUAGAUGUCGCAUGACAUUUGCUCAAAAGGUGCAACUGCACCACUACCAGAUGCAUCUGCGUUGUAUUAGCUAGUGGUUGGGGUAACGGCUCACCAAGGCAACGGUACAUAGCCGACCUGAGAGGGUGAUCAGCCACACCUGGACUGAGACGCUGCCCAGACUCCUAGGGGAGGCGGCAGUGGCGAGUCUUCGGCGAUAGACAGAAGUCUGGCCGAGCAAAGCCGCGGCGGUGGAGAAGGUCUUCGGAGCGUAAAGAGCGGUUGUGAGAGUAGAGCGGGUGAGCGCGUUGAAAGUGCACGCUGAGGCGGGAACUUACAGGAUAGGGACGGCUAAAUACGUG